UACGUAGGGUGCGAGCGUUAAUCGGAAUUACUGGGCGUAAAGCGUGCGCAGGCGGUUUUGUAAGCCAGAUGUGAAAUCCCCGGACUUAACCUGGGAAUGGCAUUUGGGACUGCAAGGCUUGAGUGCGGCAGAGGAGACUGGAAUUCCCGGUGUAGCAGUGAAAUGCGUAGAUAUCGGGAGGAAUACCGAUGGCGAAGGCAGGUCUCUGGGCUGACACUGACGCUCAUGCAUGAAAGCGUGGGGAGCAAACAGG
rnacentral:rRNA from 1 species